AUUCAUUCAUGUGAACUCUUCGCAUUUUCAUCCAGGACGGUUGCUUAUUAGUCCAAAGAACGCUUGUGGUGAUUCAUGUGAAUAAGUUACUAAGCCUUAAUCCUGCCAGGAGAGGAUUGGCAUGCAAAAUUGCAAAUUGGAGCAGAGGAGCAAAGGAUCAAUGUAGCAGUGCGGUAUGUGUUGUCCUUGCUGGUGGAGCUGCUAGCAGAGGUGGCGUCCUGUGGGCUGGGAGGCGGGAGUAUUUGCUGCCUGGUGGGCUGGUGGCAGAGCUCGACUGUGUGGUUAUUGUUCUUGUGGGCUGGGAGGUGGGUUGUAGUCCCAGGAGGUGUCACGCAGUUGCUGGUAGACGAGAUCUACGGCCAUCGGCACAGGGCAUACUGGGCAGGAGCAUGCGCUAAAGCCCCAAAUCCUAGUCGAUUUGGCUCAGUGACUGGGAGGGGUUCAUGGGGCCAAUUUUUUGGGUAGGUUUAUAUACCCUCUGAUAUACAGUUAAAUACAGUUAAUCGCCGGCUACCAAUUGGUUGUCUUGUUAGAGCGAUUAAUUGGUCUGCCCAAAUUGGUGGUCAACCAAAUCAUAUUAUUUUUUGUAUGUUGAUUAGCAGCUCAAUGCCGCUUACUAGUGGUUGUUAUAUGCAUAACCUUUUGAAUCUUGAUACAUUUGUGGUCCUUGUGGAUGCUUUGUUCGACUGCUUAAAUUAAUCAAUGAGUAGCAGCUCAAUGCAGCUUACUAUUGUUA